GAUUCCUGGCUCAGGAUGAACGCUAGCUACAGGUUUAACACAUGCAAGUCGAGGGGCAGCAUGGUCUUAGCUUGCUAAGGCCGAUGGCGACCGGCGCACGGGUGAGUAACGCGUAUCCAACCUGCCUUACACUCUUGGACAGCCUUCUGAAAGGGAGAUUAAUACAAGAUGUUAUCAUGAGUAAGCAUUUUCGCAUGAUUAAAGGUUUACCGGUGUAAGAUGGGGAUGCGUUCCA
rnacentral:rRNA from 1 species